GUAACUGACUUUGUAGAUCUUGUUGGUUUGGUGGGUGAUCUUAACAUUCAUCAAAAGGUUGCCAUACCCAUGUUCUUUAUGUCUAUGGAUUCACCUCAGAAUUUUGAUUCAGUGCUUAGCACAAUGGUAUAUAAGCCGAAGCCACCACCUGCUAAUUCAACUUUUUAUUCUGCUCAAGCACCUGCUGUUCAUCCAUGGAAUGUGUCUAGUGAGCAAGAUUUCAUAAAGCUGACAAGAAUAAUGGCAGAAGGGGACCCGCUCCUAAUGGAGUUGUUUUGAAGGUAAAAAACAUCGUUUAAUACUCAAAAGAGCCAGAAUAGAG
rnacentral:lncRNA from 1 species